rnacentral:rRNA from 1 species
GGAGUGAAAUGCUUUUUCUCUCAAGGACAAGCUGUGAUGGGGAGCGAAAUUUAGUAGCGAAGUUCCUGAUGUCACACUGCCAAGAAAAGCUUCUAGUGAGAAAGUAACUGCCCGUACCGCAAACCGACACAGGUAGUUGAGGAGAGAAUCCUAAGGUGUGCGAGAGAACUCUCGUUAAGGAACUCGGCAAAAUGACCCCGUAACUUCGGGAGAAGGGGUGCUGACCGCAAGGUCAGCCGCAGUGAAUAGGCCCAAGCGACUGUUUAUCAAAAACACAGGUCUCUGCAAAAUCGAAAGAUGACGUAUAGGGGCUGACGCCUGCCCGGUGCUGGAAGGUUAAGAGGAGAGGUUAGCGCAAGCGAAGCUUUGAAUUGAAGCCCCAGAAAACGGCGGCCGUAACUAUAACGGUCCUAAGGUAGCGAAAUUCCUUGUCGGGUAAGUUCCGACCCGCACGAAAGGCGUAACGAUUUGGGCACUGUCUCAACGAGAGACUCGGUGAAAUUAUAGUACCAGUGAAGAUGCUGGUUACCCGCGACAGGACGGAAAGACCCCAUGGAGCUUUACUGCAGUUUGAUAUUGCGUGUUUGUAUCACAUGUACAGGAUAGGUAGGAGCCGAAGAUACCGGGACGCCAGUCUCGGAGGAGGCAACGGUGGGAUACUACCCUUGUGAUAUGACCACUCUAACCCGCUGCUCUUAGCGAGCAGGGAGACAGUGUCAGACGGGCAGUUUGACUGGGGCGGUCGCCUCCAAAAAUGUAACGGAGGCGCCCAAAGGUUCCCUCAGAAUGGUUGGAAAUCAUUCGUAGAGUGUAAAGGCAGAAGGGAGCUUGACUGCGAGACCUACAAGUCGAGCAGGGACGAAAGUCGGGCUUAGUGAUCCGGUGGUUCCGCAUGGAAGGGCCAUCGCUCAACGGAUAAAAGCUACCCUGGGGAUAACAGGCUUAUCUCCCCCAAGAGUUCACAUCGACGGGGAGGUUUGGCACCUCGAUGUCGGCUCAUCGCAUCCUGGGGCUGUAGUCGGUCCCAAGGGUUGGGCUGUUCGCCCAUUAAAGCGGUACGCGAGCUGGGUUCAGAACGUUGUGAGACAGUUCGGUCCCUAUCCGUCGCGGGCGUUGGAAAUUUGAGAGGAGCUGUCCUUAGUACGAGAGGACCGGGAUGGACACACCGCUGGUGUACCAGUUGUUCUGCCAAGAGCAUCGCUGGGUAGCUAUGUGUGGACGGGAUAAACGCUGAAAGCAUCUAAGCGUGAAGCCCCCCUCAAGAUGAGAUCUCCCAUCACUUUAAGUGAGUAAGACCCCUGAGAGAUGAUCAG